UUAAGUUAAUAAGGGCGCACGGUGGAUGCCUUGGCACUAGGAGCCGACGAAGGACGUGACAAACGACGAUAUGCCUUGGGUAGCUGUAAGUAAGCGAUGAUCCAGGGAUUUCCGAAUGGGGGAACCCAACAGGUAGUACCUGUUACCCACAUCUGUUAAGGAUGUGAGGAGGAAGACGCAGUGAACUGAAACAUCUAAGUAGCUGCAGGAAGAGAAAGCAAAAGCGAUUGCCUUAGUAGCGGCGAGCGAAACGGCAGAAGGGCAAACCGAAGAGUUUACUCUUCGGGGUUGUAGGACUGCAAUGUGGACUCAAAGAUUAUAGAAGAAUGAUUUGGGAAGAUCAGCCAAAGAGAGUAAUAGCCUCGUAUUUAAAAUAGUCUUUGUACUUAGCAGUAUCCUGAGUACGGCGGGACACGUGAAAUCCCGUCGGAAUCUGGGAGGACCAUCUCCCAACCCUAAAUACUCCCUAGUGACCGAUAGUGAACCAGUACCGUGAGGGAAAGGUGAAAAGCACCCCGGGAGGGGAGUGAAAUAGAACCUGAAACCGUGUGCCUACAACAAGUUCGAGCCCGUUAAUGGGUGAGAGCGUGCCUUUUGUAGAAUGAACCGGCGAGUUACGUUAUGAUGCGAGGUUAAGUUGAAGAGACGGAGCCGUAGGGAAACCGAGUCUGAAUAGGGCGCCUUAGUAUCAUGACGUAGACCCGAAACCAUGUGACCUACCCAUGAGCAGGUUGAAGGUGCGGUAAGACGCACUGGAGGACCGAACCAGGGCACGUUGAAAAGUGCUUGGAUGACUUGUGGGUAGCGGAGAAAUUCCAAACGAACUUGGAGAUAGCUGGUUCUCUCCGAAAUAGCUUUAGGGCUAGCGUCGACAUUAGAGAUUCUUGGAGGUAGAGCACUGUUUGGGUGAGGGGUCCAUCCCGGAUUACCAAUCUCAGAUAAACUCCGAAUGCCAAUGAAUUAUGGUCGGCAGUCAGACUGCGAGUGCUAAGAUCCGUAGUCGAAAGGGAAACAGCCCAGACCACCAGCUAAGGUCCCAAAAUAAUUGUUAAGUGGAAAAGGAUGUGGGGUUGCACAGACAACUAGGAUGUUAGCUUAGAAGCAGCUAUUCAUUCAAAGAGUGCGUAAUAGCUCACUAGUCGAGUGACCCUGCGCCGAAAAUGUACCGGGGCUAAAACAAUUUACCGAAGCUGUGGAUACCUUUAUAGGUAUGGUAGGAGAGCGUUCUAUGUGUGAUGAAGGUAUACCGUGAGGAGUGCUGGAACGCAUAGAAGUGAGAAUGCCGGUAUGAGUAGCGAAAGACAGGUGAGAAUCCUGUCCACCGUAAGACUAAGGUUUCCAGGGGAAGGCUCGUCCGCCCUGGGUUAGUCGGGACCUAAGGAGAGACCGAAAGGUGUAUCCGAUGGACAACAGGUUGAUAUUCCUGUACUAGAGUAUGUAGUGAUGGAGGGACGCAGUAGGCUAACUAAAGCAGACGAUUGGAAGAGUCUGUCUAAGCAGUGAGGUGUGAAUUGAGUCAAAUGCUUAAUUCUAUAACAUUGAGCUGUGAUGGGGAGCGAAGUUUAGUAGCGAAGUUAGUGACGUCACACUGCCAAGAAAAGCUUCUAGCGUUUAAACAUACUCUACCCGUACCGCAAACCGACACAGGUAGUCGAGGCGAGUAGCCUCAGGUGAGCGAGAGAACUCUCGUUAAGGAACUCGGCAAAAUGACCCCGUAACUUCGGGAGAAGGGGUGCUGACUUAAAGUCAGCCGCAGUGAAUAGGCCCAAGCAACUGUUUAUCAAAAACACAGCUCUCUGCUAAAUCGUAAGAUGAUGUAUAGGGGGUGACGCCUGCCCGGUGCUGGAAGGUUAAGAGGAGUGCUUAGCGUAAGCGAAGGUAUGAAUUGAAGCCCCAGUAAACGGCGGCCGUAACUAUAACGGUCCUAAGGUAGCGAAAUUCCUUGUCGGGUAAGUUCCGACCCGCACGAAAGGCGUAAUGAUUUGGGCACUGUCUCAACGAGAGACUCGGUGAAAUUUUAGUACCUGUGAAGAUGCAGGUUACCCGCGACAGGACGGAAAGACCCCAUGGAGCUUUACUGCAGUUUGAUAUUGAGUGUCUGUACCACAUGUACAGGAUAGGUAGGAGUCUAAGAGAUCGGGACGCCAGUUUCGAAGGAGACGCUGUUGGGAUACUACCCUUGUGUUAUGGCCACUCUAACCCAGAUAGGUGAUCCCUAUCGGAGACAGUGUCUGACGGGCAGUUUGACUGGGGCGGUCGCCUCCUAAAAGG
rnacentral:rRNA from 1 species